rnacentral:rRNA from 1 species
AGAACGAAACGCUGGCGGCAAGCCUAACACAUGCAAGUCGAACGGACAAUUAUUUAUAGCCUCUGGCUAUAGGAAAUUGUUAGUGGCAGACGGGUGAGUAAUGCGUAGGAAUCUACCUAGUAGUACGGAAUAGCCAUUAGAAAUGGUGGGUAAUACUGUAUAAUCCCCGAGGGGGAAAGAUUUAUCGCUAUUAGAUGAGCCUACGUUAGAUUAGCUAGUUGGUGAGGUAAUGGCUUACCAAGGCUAUGAUCUAUAGCUGGUCUGAGAGGACGAUCAGCCACACUGGAACUGAGAUACGGUCCAGACUCCUACGGGAGGCAGCAGUGGGGAAUAUUGGACAAUGGGCGAAAGCCUGAUCCAGCUAUGCCGCGUGAGUGAAGAAGGCCUUCGGGUUGUAAAACUCUUUCAAUAGGGAAGAUAAUGAUGGUACC